AAAACAGCCCUUUUAAGGGCUAACAUACUAAAUAAUAUUUUGU
rfam:Zootermopsis nevadensis contig29783, whole genome shotgun sequence.